rnacentral:rRNA from 1 species
UUGGAGGGCAAGUCUGGUGCCAGCAGCCGCGGUAAUUCCAGCUCCAAUAGCGUAUAUUAAAGUUGUUGCAGUUAAAAAGCUCGUAGUUGAAUUUCGGGAUUCGUCGGUUGGUCGGGCUUCACUGUCCGCACUGACCUGACGGGUUCCUACCUUCUGAAUAACCAGCAUGCUAUUAAGUUAGUGCGUUGGGGAAGCAGAGCUAUUACCUUGAAAAAAUUAGAGUGCUUAAAGCAGGCUUGUGCUUGAAUAGGUUAGCAUGGAAUAAUAAAAUAGGACGGCAUGGUUCUAUUUUGUUGGUUUCUAGGAUCACCGUAAUGAUUAAUAGGGAUAGUUGGGGGCAUUAGUAUUCAAUUGUCAGAGGUGAAAUUCUUGGAUUUAUUGAAGACUAACUUCUGCGAAAGCAUUUGCCAAGGAUGUUUUCAUUAAUCAAGAACGAAAGUUAGGGGAUCGAAGACGAUCAGAUACCGUNGUAGUCUUAACCAUAAACUAUGCCGACUAGGGAUCGGACGAUGUUAAUUUUUUAAUGACUCGUUCGGCGCCUUACGGGAAAC